rnacentral:rRNA from 1 species
GGCUCAGGAUGAACGCUGGCGGCGUGCUUAAUACAUGCAGUCGAGCGAAUGGAUUAAGAGCUUGCUCUUAUGAAGUUAGCGGCGGACGGGUGAGUAACACGUGGGUAACCUGCCCAUAAGACUGGGAUAACUCCGGGAAACCGGGGCUAAUACCGGAUAACAUUUUGAACCGCAUGGUUCGAAAUUGAAAGGCGGCUUCGGCUGUCACUUAUGGAUGGACCCGCGUCGCAUUAGCUAGUUGGUGAGGUAACGGCUCACCAAGGCAACGAUGCGUAGCCGACCUGAGAGGGUGAUCGGCCACACUGGGACUGAGACACGGCCCAGACUCCUACGGGAGGCAGCAGUAGGGAAUCUUCCGCAAUGGACGAAAGUCUGACGGAGCAACGCCGCGUGAGUGAUGAAGGCUUUCGGGUCGUAAAACUCUGUUGUUAGGGAAGAACAAGUGCUAGUUGAAUAAGCUGGCACCUUGACGGUACCUAACCAGAAAGCCACGGCUAACUACGUGCCAGCAGCCGCGGUAAUACGUAGGUGGCAAGCGUUAUCCGGAAUUAUUGGGCGUAAAGCGCGCGCAGGUGGUUUCUUAAGUCUGAUGUGAAAGCCCACGGCUCAACCGUGGAGGGUCAUUGGAAACUGGGAGACUUGAGUGCAGAAGAGGAAAGUGGAAUUCCAUGUGUAGCGGUGAAAUGCGUAGAGAUAUGGAGGAACACCAGUGGCGAAGGCGACUUUCUGGUCUGUAACUGACACUGAGGCGCGAAAGCGUGGGGAGCAAACAGGAUUAGAUACCUUG